UACGAAGGGGGCUAGCGUUGUUCGGAAUCACUGGGCUUAAAGGGCGCGUAGGCGGACUGCCAAGUCCGGGGUGAAAUCCUCCGGCUUAACCGGAGAAUUGCCUGGGAUACUGGCGGUCUUGAGGGAGGUAGGGGCACGCGGAACUUCCGGUGGAGCGGUGAAAUGCGUUGAUAUCGGAAGGAACGCCGGUGGCGAAAGCGGCGUGCUGGCCCUCUUCUGACGCUGAGGCGCGAAAGCCAGGGGAGCGAACGGG
rnacentral:rRNA from 1 species